rnacentral:rRNA from 1 species
AUUGAACGCUGGCGGCAGGCCUAACACAUGCAAGUCGAGCGGAUGAGGGAAGCUUGCUUCCCGAUUUAGCGGCGGACGGGUGAGUAAUGCCUAGGAACCUGCCUAUUAGUGGGGGAUAACGUUCAGAAAGGAACGCUAAUACCGCAUACGUCCUACGGGAGAAAGUGGGGGAUCUUCGGACCUCACGCUAAUAGAUGAGCCUAGGUCGGAUUAGCUAGUUGGUGAGGUAACGGCUCACCAAGGCUACGAUCCGUAGCUGGUCUGAGAGGAUGAUCAGCCACACUGGAACUGAGACACGGUCCAGACUCCGACGGGAGGCAGCAGUGGGGAAUAUUGGACAAUGGGCGAAAGCCUGAUCCAGCCAUGCCGCGUGUGUGAAGAAGGUCUUCGGAUUGUAAAGCACUUUAAGUUGGGAGGAAGAGUUGUAAGCUAAUAUCUUGCAGCUUUGACGUUACCAACAGAAUAAGCACCGGCUAACUCUGUGCCAGCCGCCGCCGUAAGAC